rnacentral:rRNA from 1 species
GACGAACGCUGGCGGCGUGCUUAACACAUGCAAGUCGAACGGAAAGGCCCUGCUUUUGGGGGGUGCUCGAGUGGCGAACGGGUGAGUAACACGUGAGUAACCUGCCCUUGACUUUGGGAUAACUUCAGGAAACUGGGGCUAAUACCGGAUAGGAGCUCCUGCUGCAUGGUGGGGGUUGGAAAGUUUCGGCGGUUGGGGAUGGACUCGCGGCUUAUCAGCUUGUUGGUGGGGUAGUGGCUUACCAAGGCUUUGACGGGUAGCCGGCCUGAGAGGGUGACCGGCCACAUUGGUACUGAGAUACGGACCAGUAUCCUACGAGAGGCAGCAGUGGGGAAUAUUGCACAAUGGGCGGAAGCCUGAUGCAGCAACGCCGCGUGCGGGAUGACGGCCUUCUGGUUGUAAACCGCUUUCGCCUGUGACGAAGCGUGAGUGACGGUACUGGGUAAAGAAGCACCGGCUAACUACGUG